rnacentral:rRNA from 1 species
GAAGAAAUCGCCAUCUCUAAUAUAGGUGGUGGAUGACGGUACCGGAAUAAGAAGCACCGGCUAACUACGUGCCAGCAGCCGCGGUAAUACGUAGGGUGCGAGCGUUAAUCGGAAUUACUGGGCGUAAAGCGUGCGCAGGCGGUUUUUUAAGAUAGGCGUGAAAUCCCCGGGCUUAACCUGGGAACUGCGCUUAUGACUGGAAGACUAGAGUACGGCAGAGGGGGGUGGAAUUCCACGUGUAGCAGUGAAAUGCGUAGAGAUGUGGAGGAACACCGAUGGCGAAGGCAGCCCCCUGGGCCGAUACUGACGCUCAUGCACGAAAGCGUGGGGAGCAAACAGGAUUAGAUACCCUGGUAGUCCACGCCCUAAACGAUGUCAACUAGUUGUUGGGUGGGUAAAACCAUUUAGUAACGUAGCUAACGCGUGAAGUUGACCGCCUGGGGAGUACGGCC